rnacentral:lncRNA from 1 species
GUAGGACUCACUGACUUUUCCAGUGGGACUUGGGAGGACCUUUCACUGGGGAGGAACUGACUACAGUACCACACCAAGGGGGUGUAGACGCCCCACGCUUUGCUGAGUCUGUCAAGCAGACUCAUGGGGAGGGAGACCUCCCUCCCCAUGGUUUCCUGAGUGCCGGGGUCAUCUCUUCCAAGCGCAUCCCUGGGACACACCCCGCCAGGUGGCCAAGGCAAGCUCUCAUUCAGCCUUUCUUCCGAUGCAGCACUGACUGUGUUUCAAACUUCAGCUGAAGUUCAGGGCCGAGCAGUGAGGCCUCACCUGCCAGCAGGGUGGGUGGGGGUGAGUCUGCGAGUCCCGACUUCCCUUCCUCACUCUGGGGUCGCCUGGAAUGCCUCAGCUUGCCGGGUCACCGCGCAGCCUCCUCUGACGCUUCUGAGUGGGACGAGAGGCCAGAGCAAAGGGUCCUCUUCCUUUUCUGCUGCCCCAGCAACUGGUCACUGACCAGCAAGACAGCUGCACCCCGGGCGGGCCUGGCUGGCUGGGGAGACGAGAGAGGCAUUGACAUCCCUGAAACUUGCCUGCAGCUCCCAUUACUGAAGAUCACAGUGCAUAUUCAGCCAUGGUCACUUGAGAGAAGAAAAGAAAAACAAAACAAGACAAAAUGAAUAACCUAAAACAAUUAAAAGGUAAAAGAAAAACACCAGAGUCAAUUAUCUACUUUUCUUUCCCUCAGGUUGUCAAAUAAAGGUCAUUCCCCUACCACGUUUUGAAAAACCAAGACAAAGAGUUCUCUGAGUUAUGAGCACUUGUGGCAAAUUACUUAAUACAGGAAGUGCCACACUGAGCGAGUCACCAUGCUCCCCCAACUGCACGGGUGGCAGACAUUCCCUGGCCGAGGGGCAGUGUCCCGGCAGCUGGCGCUCUCCCUGCGGGCAGAGACGCACCCUCAGACAACGGCCUGAUAUCUGGGGAACGUCCACCCUGGAGUCACCUGCCAGGUGCCAGGGGAACAGAAACUCGCCGCCAUCCAGCUCUCAGUAACUGAGAGUCCUCCACAGUUCCCAGAUGUAAAGGGGCCUAAGACCAGCAAGAAGAAAUGUCCCUAAGGGGAUGAGAGGCAUGUUUUCCAUGAUCUCCAUGCACUUGCUGGAGUCCAGCAAACCUGGGAGCCCACCACGACAACAGCUGCUACUCCGUGAAUGAGGAAGCUCUCAGUAUCCGAACAUAAGGCCACUCUCCUGACACCUGUCCACACAAGCUCAGAAAUUCUGACAGCCAGCUCUUUAUAAUGUGCUAUGAGCACGUUCAUGAGAGUCAAAGACUGAACCUCACUACACACCAGCCUGGAUAAAAACAACUCUAAAUCAGCCUUAAGAUUUGGAAAGGUCCAAUUUUCAGAAGGAAGUAUGCUGAAACCUAGAAUAUCAGAAAAGAGCAAAGAAGAAAAGGAUUUCUGAGGGGGAAAAAAGGGUAUGACUCUUUGGGGAAGACUUUUCAGAAUGAAAUAAAAUUCUGUAACCUUAAGUUGGCG